UAGAUUGAAGCCUGUUGAUUAUGACGUUUAGCUGUUAACUAAAAGUUCGUAGGAUAAAAGCCUACCAAUCUAG
rnacentral:tRNA from 4 species